rnacentral:rRNA from 1 species
UCGGAGUGCUUGCACUCUGUGAAACAAGAUACAGGCUAGCGGCGGACGGGUGAGUAACACGUGGGUAACCUGCCCAAGAGAUCGGGAUAACACCUGGAAACAGAUGCUAAUACCGGAUAACAACAGAUGAUGCCUAUCAACUGUUUAAAAGAUGGUUCUGCUAUCACUCUUGGAUGGACCUGCGGUGCAUUAGCUAGUUGGUAGGGUAACGGCCUACCAAGGCGAUGAUGCAUAGCCGAGUUGAGAGACUGAUCGGCCACAUUGGGACUGAGACACGGCCCAAACUCCUACGGGAGGCAGCAGUAGGGAAUCUUCCACAAUGGACGCAAGUCUGAUGGAGCAACGCCGCGUGAGUGAAGAAGGGUUUCGGCUCGUAAAGCUCUGUUGUUGGUGAAGAAGGACAGGGGUAGUAACUGACCUUUGUUUGACGGUAAUCAAUUAGAAAGUCACGGCUAACUACGUGCCAGCAGCCGCGGUAAUACGUAGGUGGCAAGCGUUGUCCGGAUUUAUUGGGCGUAAAGCGAGUGCAGGCGGCUCGAUAAGUCUGAUGUGAAAGCCUUCGGCUCAACCGGAGAAUUGCAUCAGAAACUGUCGAGCUUGAGUACAGAAGAGGAGAGUGGAACUCCAUGUGUAGCGGUGAAAUGCGUAGAUAUAUGGAAGAACACCGGUGGCGAAGGCGGCUCUCUGGUCUGUUACUGACGCUGAGGCUCGAAAGCAUGGGUAGCGAACAGGAUUAGAUACNCUGGUAGUCCAUGCCGU